rnacentral:tRNA from 5 species
GCUCAGUGGUGAGAGCGAGCGACUCAUAAUCGCCAGGUCGCUGGUUCAAAUCCAGCAAGGGCCACCA